UUCAGAGGAGUCAAAAGAUCGGAGAUGCCAACCGAGCCAUCGUCCGCGAGUCCCGUCACUGGCACGACGUCUUCGGGUCAGCUAUCUUUGUGAUCCACCUCAUAUGCUUAGGCUUCGUGCUCGCGGUGCUUGGACUCAACAUGUUUACUUGCAUCAUGUAUUGGCAUAUAAGGUGAUUUGGACAUUCUAAUUAGAGAAAGCGCGGGCAAGGCAUAACGGAAUAUUGCUGGAAAACGCCACUACGAUGAUCUCUAGAUUGACGGUUGGCUUUAUAUUGAUUACCCUUCAGAUAUUUACAUCAUCGCUCAUCGGAAACGCUGACACCAAAGAAGUUGCUUAUUCUAGCUCUUCAGGAAGCUGAGAGAAAUGGAAAUAGCAUAUAUAUUAUCUGCCUUAUCCGUGAGUACAAUUAUUCCUUCCACUCAAGCCCUUUGAUUAGUGUUCCGGAUUAGUCUGGGGCUUUAUUUAACUGCUACUGGUUACAAUAUGAACCUUUGUGUCCAUGUAUGUGAAAUAACUACUGCCCAACCCUUCCUUUGUUUAGUCAUGUGUUCUCCACAGUACAAAUGUUGUGAAAUAGAUGUUCCCAUUAUCGAGGAGAUACGCCAUACAUGUUCCACCUAUCUGUUAUGCUUCCAUCGUGGCAUUAGUUUGUUUUGUUUCCAUGAUAAGGUGGCUAAGAUUUGAUGCUUUUUGAUCAGGUGGCUAAUUGAUGCUCACUGCAGGUUUCAACUGAAU